ACCUGCGGAAGGAUCAUUGUCGUGACCCUAACCAAAAUAGACUGUGAAUAUGUCAUCCAUGUCGUUGGGUGACGGUCCUUGCACCGUCUCUCGGCAUAGGCCCUUCACCUUCUUACGGAGGCGAGGGUCCCCAAAAGAACCCACGGCGCCGGAUGGCGUCAAGGAACACUGAUGUUGCUUGAUCGGGGCUACGGCUGGCCUGCUGGACGAGCCCUGCGCUGUGAUGCUGCCUGAAUCCAUAAGACUCUCGGCAACGGAUAUCUUGGCUCUCGCAUCGAUGAAGAACGUAGCAAAAUGCGAUACCUGGUGUGAAUUGCAGAAUCCCGUGAACCAUCGAGUUUUUGAACGCAAGUUGCGCCUUAGGCCUCUUGGUCGAGGGCACGUCUGCCUGGGCGUCACGCGAAGAGACACUCCCCCGCCAGCCACCCUGGUGCGGUAUGUGGCGUCUGGCCUUCCAUUCCACUUAUAAGGAGUGGUAGGCUAAAGUAGGUGGCUGCUGGCUAUGGUGCCGGUCGCAGCACUUGGUGGACGACGCAUGUUGUUCUCGGAGUUGUGACUUGUACUGCUUCCGGCAAAAUUGGCCCCGUGGACCCCUGGAUCGAGCACCGAUUGCUUGCACCGCGACCCCAGGUCAGUCGGGAUUACCCGCUGAAUUUAAGCAUAUCAAUAAG
rnacentral:rRNA from 1 species